UGCACAGAAAGCCCCAUGGCUCAUGUCUUUGGUAGUUUUUUGCUUAUUGCUGUCUCUUUGUGAUUUUGCUUGCUUGAUGUGCCAUACUGUGUAUGAUAGUUUUUGUUUCUUUGAUUCUGACUUUCGCUUCGCCUUUCUGAUAUUGUUGCCUUGGUUGUUUGCUCUCCUGGUUUUGAUCUCCCCGCCUGUGUAUCGACUACCCUAUUGUUUGCCCCUACGGAUACUGACGUCUCGGUUCGUGUGUUUGCUGUGUGUGUAUUCUGGUAUAUCGGUGCGUAAGGAGUGACUGCCAUUUUUGUUCAAGUUGUGUAUUGUUCAUUUUGGUUAAGGAGAUCGGUAUUAGUAGUGUUGUUUAUUUUCGUUUUUUGUUCACUUAGGAGUAGCUCAGAUUGGGGUUUCGUUCGGUAGAUGUGUUUUGUUUAUUGUUUUGACCGCUGUCACUCCCGAAGUCUGUUGCACCUAGUGUUUGUGAUUGCGUCUGUGAAAAAAUAUUUUAAAAACUAUUUCAAAAGACUCCCUUUGUGUCCCGUGUUUCCUUUCCUUGGCUCCUGGUUGUCCUGUUUUUCCCUUUCCCUAUUUCUUUCUGCUAUGCCCUAUCUCCUAGACGGAAGUGUAACAGAUUGACAGCCUUUCAAAGUGUGCCCCUGCCUUGUGUCCUGUGACCCUAGAGGAAAUCCCCCUCCCCACCUUGUUCAGUGAUACCCCACCUAGCGGAAGUUACUGUUACGUCUGCUGCAUGAGCGGGGGCUUCCAUUUGACCUACUAUCAAU